rnacentral:rRNA from 1 species
CUCAGAUUGAACGCUGGCGGCAUGCCUUACACAUGCAAGUCGAACGGCAGCACGGACUUCGGUCUGGUGGCGAGUGGCGAACGGGUGAGUAAUAUAUCGGAACGUGCCCUGGAGUGGGGGAUUACUAGUCGAAAGAUUAGCUAAUACCGCAUACGAUCUAUGGAUGAAAGUGGGGGAUCGCAAGACCUCAUGCUCGUGGAGCGGCCGAUAUCUGAUUAGCUAGUUGGUGGGGUAAAAGCCUACCAAGGCAUCGAUCAGUAGCUGGUCUGAGAGGACGACCAGCCACACUGGGACUGAGACACGGCCCAGACUCCUACGGGAGGCAGCAGUGGGGAAUUUUGGACAAUGGGGGCAACCCUGAUCCAGCAAUGCCGCGUGAGUGAAGAAGGCCUUCGGGUUGUAAAGCUCUUUUGUCAGGGAAGAAACGGUUCUGGCUAAUAUCCGGAGCUAAUGACGGUACCUGAAGAAUAAGCACCGGCUAACUACGUGCCAGCAGCCGCGGUAAUACGUAGGGUGCAAGCGUUAAUCGGAAUUACUGGGCGUAAAGCGUG